rnacentral:tRNA from 1 species
GGGCAGGUACCAGAGUGGCCAAAUGGGGUGGACUGUAAAUCCACUGGCUCCGCCUUCGGGGGUUCGAAUCCCUCCCUGCCCA